rnacentral:lncRNA from 1 species
AGAGACUCUAUAGUAAUAAAAUAAAGUAAAAUAAAAUAAAAUAAAUAAUCUAAUCUUUGCUUAAAUUUGUACAUGACCCCUUUCAUAAUAAUAAUAAUAAUAUUUUGGCAUUUAACGCAUAAGUUAAUUAUUUAAACAGUGAAAGUCUUACUGUUUUAAAAUAUUGUCUUAAGACCCAUCUUGUUUAUGCUUUUUAUGUGAUUGUUUGUAUUUGGUCUGUUAGGGUGUAAUAAUAAUUAUUGUGUAAUGUUGAUUGUUUUGUUGUAAGGUGUCCUUGAGUGUCAUGUCAGGUGCCUAUAAAUAACAUGAAAUAAAUUUUACACAGAGGUCAAGUUCAUUAUUUACGUUUGACAUUUCAUGUAACGGACCUCAAACUGUGCUCAACAACUGUAAGCGGUAAGCGUAGCGGUACCUUUAAGAAAAUUGGACCGAUGUAUUUUGAAAACGGGGGAGAACAGUUCAUUUAGUUGUGAAAAGUCGUGUGCAAAGAGUGUAUAUACUGAAUAGUUGAUCUAUUUAUUAUGCAGCUACUCAAUUAUUUCCUAUACUGUAAAACUGAACAUUAGCUAAUGAUAUUAAGGGGACAUGAUAAAACCUGUUUGACCGAUCCCCCCUCUUUCCCACAAAAGUCUAUUCUUGAUCUAAGGCUCAUGAUGCAGUGGGAUUCAAUAAGCUGGUAGGUGCUGCCCAACUCAAGGUUUUCGGCUCCAGUCGACAGCGAAUGAGCACGGAAAUAUACCGCAGCAUCCUCACUCAUUUGAAGUGUUUACGUGCAGAUCAUAAAGGUUGGACCUGCCUCUGCAAGAUGGAGCUUUUGAUUCUGUGGUCUUCCAGGUUCAAUCAGACUGUAGCUUCCUCUUUUUAGUGCAAGAUCCUGUGUGAUGUUCUCGUCAUCUUUUCCACACCAUACAGCAUCAGCCCCACUGAUAACCUGCAGCAGCUGGAGGACAAGGACAGCUCGGACAGCAGCUCAGAGCCCGUUAAAACCUGAGCCAUACAAAGAUUCUCAGCCUUGGCCAGGAACAAAGGAGCAGCGACAAGGCUUUUCCCCACAAUCCUCUGGUGCUGCCUCCCAGCUUGCUGAGCCUGACGAGUGUGCUGACACUUACUGGAGCUGA